CAUUGUAGAAUCCUGCACAGCAGAAUGACCAGAGAA
rnacentral:rRNA from 1 species